rnacentral:tRNA from 1 species
UGGGGUCAUGGAUUAGUGGAAGAUCGUUCGCUUGGCAUGCGAAAGGCCGCGGGUUCAAUUCCCGCUGACUCCAU